GACAGAGGUGCCAAGCGUUAGGCGGAAUCACUGGGCUUAAAGCGUGUGUAGGCGGAUCGUUAAGUACCUUGUGAAAUCCCACGGCUCAACCGUGGAACUGCUGGGUAUACUGGCGGUCUUGAGCCACCUAGGGGCGAGCGGAACAAACGGUGGAGCGGUGAAAUGCGUAGAUAUCGUUUGGAACGCCAACGGUGAAACAGCUCGCUGGGGUGUGCUGACGCUGAGACACGAAGCCAGGGAGCGAACGGG
rnacentral:rRNA from 1 species